rnacentral:misc_RNA from 1 species
AUUUUUCGGGCAUUAGCGCAACCUACCAAUGUAAACACAGAUGAUUGCUAAAUCGGUCUGCUUUAGAAAACUUUCCAAAGUGUGCAUUCGAAAGUUAAGCACUGACAACAUGUCUAUCAAGUUUUCAGCAAACAUUACUAUGAUGUUCUCCGAGUUGCCAACCUUGGCAGAACGAUAUGGUGCUGCAAAAGCAGCAGGAUUUAAGUACGUGGAGAGUGCCUUUCCCUACUUCGAGCCUUUGGAAUCUCUUCGGGAUGCGAAAGAAAAAGCGGGCGUAGAGCAGAUUGUAAUCAAUACCUGGCCAGGAGAUUUGAAAAAAGGAGAUGUUGGAUUAGCUGCUCUUCCUGACAGGCAGCAAGAAUUUGAAAGCAAACUAGAUUUAGCCAUUAAAACAGCAAAAGCCUUGAAUUGUAAAAGAAUUCAUGUAAUGGCGGGCAUGAAGCCAGAUAAUUGUAAUGAGGCUGAAAUGGAGAGCACCUAUAUCAAGAAUGUAACAAUGGCCGCCAAGAAAUUCCAACCAGAGGGAAUAACCUGUUUGAUAGAGCCCCUCAACAGUAGGAUUACAGCCCCUCGCUACUUCCUAACUGAUGUGAACAAAGCUGUUGAAAUAAUAAAGAAAAUCAAUCUACCAAAUUUGAAAUUACAAUUUGAUUUUUUCCAUAUACAGAUAAUGGAGGGGAACUUAACUAAGACUCUGGAAAAAUUCCUCCCAUAUGUAGGUCACAUACAGAUAGCGCAGGUGCCUGACCGAGGGGAGCCAGACAGACAGGGGGAGAUCAACUUCCCCUAUGUGUUUGACUUGCUACGCAAGCUUAAUUACGACGGAUUUGUCGGAUUGGAAUACAAACCUAGGGGAAAUACAUUGGAUGGAUUGAAGUGGAUCAAAGAAUAUGGACUAGAAGUUUAACAGAAGGAAAACUAGAGUUUUAUUAAAUAUAAUUUGAAAAGUAAUGGUUGUACAACAGAUACAUGUAAAAAUGUAGCACUGAUGAACAAAUUGAUUUUAAACAUAAAUUCAUUCUUUUGUGUAAUAAAGGUCUCAUGUAUAUUCCAGU